UCGUUUGAUCUUUGCAUUUAAUACAUGUAUAUUAAAUAUGUUGGUUUAGGCCAACUAUGAUGAUAAACGAUGUGCGGAAUAAAUGGAGCGGACCCGGGGGCGGUACCCGGCGCCUCCACCACUCUUACUGAGGGGGCGAAAUAGGAUCGACGCACAUAAUAAAGGCACGAUCUUUCAUCCGGCAUGGUAUCCGCCGUUAUCGGGCUAAUUUGAUAAAUGCCAAAACUACAAAGGCACGUCGCGUAACUGCUGCUAACUGCAAUGCUGAAAAGGUUGCAAGAGCCGCAUAACGCGAAGCGGUUUGGGGGGCACCGGGCAACAGAAAGCCCCCCGCU
rnacentral:tmRNA from 1 species